UACGAAGGGGGCGAGCGUUGUUCGGAAUUACUGGGCGUAAAGGGCGCGUAGGCGGCGCACCAAGUCAGGCGUGAAAGCCCUGGGCUUAACCCAGGAAUUGCGUUUGAGACUGGCGUGCUGGAGUGCAGGAGAGGUCGGCGGAAUUCCCAGUGUAGAGGUGAAAUUCGUAGAGAUUGGGAAGAACACCGGUGGCGUAGGCGGCCGACUGGACUGUAACUGACGCUGAGGCGCGAAAGCGUGGGGAGCGAACCGG
rnacentral:rRNA from 1 species